rnacentral:rRNA from 1 species
UACGGGGGGGGGCAAGCGUUGUUCGGAAUUACUGGGCGUAAAGGGCUCGUAGGCGGCCAACUAAGUCAGACGUGAAAUCCCCUCGGCUUAACCGGGGAACUGCGUCUGAUACUGGAUGGCUUGAGGUUGGGGAGAGGGAUGCGGGAAUUCCAGGUGUAGCGGUGAAAUGCGUAGAUAGUCUGGAGGAACACCGGGUGGCGAAGGCGGCAUCCGUGGGACCAAUUCUGACGCUGAGUGAGCGAAAAGCCAGGGGA